rnacentral:rRNA from 1 species
UGGGGGAAUAUUGCACAAUGGGGGAAACCCUGAUGCAGCAACGCCGCGUGAAGGAAGACGGUUUUUCGGAUUGUAAACUUCUUUUCUUUGUGAAGAAACAAAUGACGGUAGCAAAGGAAUAAGCAUCGGCUAACUACGUGCCAGCAGCCGCGGUAAUACGUAGGAUGCAAGCGUUAUCCGGAUUUACUGGGUGUAAAGGGAGCGCAGGCGGGACUUCAAGUUGGAUGUGAAAGGUCAAGGCUUAACCUUGGCACUGCAUCCAAAACUGUAGUUCUUGAGUGGAGUAGAGGUAAGCGGAAUUCCGAGUGUAGCGGUGAAAUGCGUAGAUAUUCGGAGGAACACCAGUGGCGAAGGCGGCUUACUGGGCUCUAACUGACGCUGAGGCUCGAAAGUGUGGGGAGCAAACAGGGAUUAGAUACCCUGGUAGU